CAGCCCUCGGGGCCGGCCCUGGCGCACCUUUUCUCCCCGCUGCCACAUUGUGAGCUCUUCGCCUCCCACACAACCGCCGACUCCCGCUCCACCCCCGCCUCCCCUACUCCGCCCACUGCCGAGCGCCCAGAGUUUCUGAAAUGAUGCUGAAAUGGGGGUGAGUACAGAAAUGUAGAAACCAGCCAUCACAACAUGUCUAAACAACUUGGAUGUGAAAACUCAAGUCCCACCUAACAGCACCAGGCUGAACAAUAUGCUGCAGUGGAGAGUGGCUGCAGAUGACCAGGGAGUGACCUGGAAGUGAUCAUCUGCUUGAAGCCCUAACUGGCGGCAGGGCUGAGCCUCAGCCUGCAAACAAGCUGUACCUACGGUAGAAAAUGCUUCCUGUCCAAGUCUCAAUUUUUCAGCUGAGAAAUGGAUCAGAGACGAGCUGUACAGAGACAGGAGCUGUGGCCCCUUUGCAUCCUAUUGUAUCCCCCGCAUCUCCCCUGCUCUUGACUCAGAGAGCAGUGGACAAGCAAGUCGAGUGGAAUAUGUAGUGUCUCGUCUUGGUUAGAUUGUUGGAGGACUUUUCUGCAAAUUAUAGUGGUUAAGCACUGACUCAACGUCCAACAACUGCAUAAGAGCUUAGAGCCUUCGUUCAUGGACAAGUUUCAAAAUGAAACAUCGUCACCACCUCUCAUGGGCGGUGUAGUCAGAGAACAGAAGAGAGUGAAUUUCACCCUUAACAAAGUGGCUGCUUUCUGGAGAAGUGGCAGGAUCUGGUAUUUCCCAGCACGGUGAAAUUGGGAAGUGCCUUUUGCAGCCCUUCUCACUUUCAUGGUUUGUUUGGACAUGGAAUUCUUAAGCUCUUAAUUCCGUCCCUGCUUCCUGUGUCACUUCCCUAGGAGACUGAAUUCAAGGAGGGCGGGACCUCCUCCCCAGGGGCGGGGGGAGAACAGAAUGGGGACUGAUGCCUUUGGGCUCUUACCAUGUAGACAUCCUGUUGGCACAUUCUCCACUCCUCCCCAGCAAAGCAUGCUCUGCUCUGUGAAGAAUCCAGGCAGGAAGUAAAAGAGAUCUGUGCAGCCACAGUGGAAAUGCCCGGCCUCUCAGGAACCCCAGAUGGCCAUCCAGUCUGACCACACAUCCCAUUCUGUUUUCAUUAUUAGUGUCCGUCCUGUUUGUUCAUGGGCUCCCCCAGGACAGGAGGCAUAUCUGCCCUAGUCACCAUCAGAGCCAUCUUAGUACGUCACAGUGCCUGGUACAGAGUGGCUGUUAGUAAAUAUUUGUUGAAUAAAUCAACUAUGAAUGUGGAAGUGGUUCUCUUAAAGAGCUCUUUGCUCUUUCUCAGCUACUGAGUUACAAGACGAGUGUGCUGAUGGUGAGAAGGGACACCUUUGGGUUAUAAUAAAAGGAGCUAGAAAUGUGUGGGAGGGCUCCUAAGUGUUCCAGUUGUAUCUACUAAGCAACAAGGAACCUCUGCGACUUCUUUAGGUCACCAACAGGAGAUGGCGAGCCGGUGGGGGCUAUGUUAUUGUUGUUGUUCAGUCGCCCAGUUGUGCCUGACUCUUUGCAACCCCAUGGACUGUAGCACGCCAAGCCUCCCUGUCCCUUACCAUCUCCUGAAGUUUACCCAAG